rnacentral:rRNA from 1 species
GAUGAACGCUAGCUACAGGCUUAACACAUGCAAGUCGAGGGGAAACGGCAUUAAGUGCUUGCACUUUUUGGACGUCGACCGGCGCACGGGUGAGUAACGCGUAUCCAACCUUCCCAUGACUAAGGGAUAACCUGCCGAAAGGCAGACUAAUACCUUAUGGUCUUCACUGACGGCAUCAGAUGUGAAGUAAAGAUUUAUCGGUUAUGGAUGGGGAUGCGUCUGAUUAGCUUGUUGGCGGGGUAACGGCCCACCAAGGCAACGAUCAGUAGGGGUUCUGAGAGGAAGGUCCCCCACAUUGGAACUGAGACACGGUCCAAACUCCUACGGGAGGCAGCAGUGAGGAAUAUUGGUCAAUGGGCGAGAGCCUGAACCAGCCAAGUAGCGUGCAGGAGGACGGCGCUAUGGGUUGUAAACUGCUUUUGUAUGGGGAUAAAGUCAAUCACGUGUGAUUGUUUGCAGGUACCAUACGAAUAAGGACCGGCUAAUUCCGUG